rnacentral:rRNA from 1 species
GACGAACGCUGGCGGCAGGCCUAACACAUGCAAGUCGAACGAAGUCUUCGGACUUAGCGGCGGACGGGUGAGUAACACGUGGGAACGUGCCUUUAGGUUCGGAAUAACUCAGGGAAACUCGUGCUAAUACCGAAUGUGUCCUUCGGGGGAAAGAUUUAUCGCCUUUAGAGCGGCCCGCGUCUGAUUAGCUAGUUGGUGAGGUAAAGGCUCACCAAGGCGACGAUCAGUAGCUGGUCUGAGAGGAUGAACAGCCACAUUGGGACUGAGACACGGCCCAAACUCCUACGGGAGGCAGCAGUGGGGAAUCUUGCGCAAUGGGCGAAAGCCUGACGCAGCCAUGCCGCGUGAAUGAUGAAGGUCUUAGGAUUGUAAAAUUCUUUCACCGGGGACGAUAAUGACGGUACCCGGAGAAGAAGCCCCGGCUAACUUCGUGCCAGCAGCCGCAGUAACAC